rnacentral:rRNA from 1 species
GUGGCGAACGGGUGAGUAACACGUGAGUAACCUGCCCUUGACUCUGGGAUAAGCGCUGGAAACGGCGUCUAAUACCGGAUACGAGCUUCAGCCGCAUGGCUAGGAGUUGGAAAGAAUUUCGGUCAAGGAUGGACUCGCGGCCUAUCAGCUAGUUGGUGAGGUAAUGGCUCACCAAGGCGACGACGGGUAGCCGGCCUGAGAGGGUGACCGGCCACACUGGGACUGAGACACGGCCCAGACUCCUACGGGAGGCAGCAGUGGGGAAUAUUGCACAAUGGGCGAAAGCCUGAUGCAGCAACGCCGCGUGAGGGAUGACGGCCUUCGGGUUGUAAACCUCUUUUAGUAGGGAAGAAGCGAAAGUGACGGUACCUGCAGAAAAAGCACCGGCUAACUACGUGCCAGCAGCCGCGGUAAUACGUAGGGUGCAAGCGUUGUCCGGAAUUAUUGGGCGUAAAGAGCUCGUAGGCGGUUUGUCGCGUCUGCUGUGAAAUCUGGGGGCUCAACCCCCAGCCUGCAGUGGGUACGGGCAGACUAGAGUGCGGUAGGGGAGAUUGGAAUUCCUGGUGUAGCGGUGGAAUGCGCAGAUAUCAGGAGGAACACCGAUGGCGAAGGCAGAUCUCUGGGCCGUAACUGACGCUGAGGAGCGAAAGCAUGGGGAGCGAACAGGAUUAGAUACCCUGGUA